rnacentral:rRNA from 1 species
CAGCAGCCGCGGGAAUACGGAGGGUGCAAGCGUUAAUCGGAAUUACUGGGCGUAAAGCGCACGCAGGCGGUCUGACAAGUCAGAUGUGAAAUCCCCGGGCUUAACCUGGGAACUGCAUUUGAAACUGUCAGGCUGGAGUCUUGUAGAGGGGGGUGGAAUUCCAGGUGUAGCGGUGAAAUGCGUAGAGAUCUGGAGGAAUACCGGUGGCGAAGGCGGCCCCCUGGACAAAGACUGACGCUCAGGUGCGAAAGCGUGGGGAGCAAACAGGAUUAGAGACCCCUGUAGUCCUGUCUCUUAUACA